rnacentral:misc_RNA from 1 species
AACUUGAAAGCCAUAUCUGGACCCAGACGGCUGACGGUCACGCCCCGCCUUCAACAGGCAUCGAAUGGCCACUGCUCUUUCCUGACCCAACCCUAACUCAAUCAGGACUUGAUGGGUAGAUCCACCAACACGACUCACAUUUACAGAUACAUUAGUAGUUGCUUGAAAAAUUUGUUGACGCAAAACAGAAUGGAUUUGAUUUAGUCUUUUGAAUCAUUUUCAAAGCUCCAUACAUAAUAAAUAAAAUAAGCCAACGAUUUCUUUGCAAUUUCUUUGUUGAUUUGGCUCCAGACUCAAAACUCAAAGACUAUACAGCGUUGCAUGCAACUCUACUCUAAGUAGUCACUGAUCUAAAACUCAUUAAUUUUUCUUUCAAAUUUUCGGUAUACGCUUAACGAACAAGUUAACUAACCGAUUACAAUAAAUUGGUUCAGAUUUCGUAGUUUUUCCUCCUGUAGUAGCGCGAUGUCAAAUUAAACACGAAAUUGGUAUAAAGAACAAACCAAGAACAGUAAAACCCAAAAAUGUUUUAACAAAUGCCCAAU